CAGAAACAGAGAUAAUGCCUAGUUUUUUCAUAUCUUCCGUAACUGAUGUAACUGGCGCAACGGAAAGACAUUAGCAUAAAAUGUGGUGCAAGCUGUGCCGCACACAGCAGCUCCUAGAAGGUGAAGGGAGCUUGAAGGGAUGGUCAAAUGGGAACCGAAGAAAGAGUAGCAAUGUGCUUACACACAAACAAGUUUCUGGACAUCAAGACUAGACAGACUGGACAGUCAAGACUAGAGCAGAAGGCUAAAAGUAGACUUGGAAAGAAGAGGAAUGAUCAACAAAAAUAAAAGUGUUAAACAAAA